rnacentral:lncRNA from 1 species
AGUAAUCUUCUAGGUCUAGGAUAAAGUGAGGACGCUACUGACGUAUAUUAAAAACACAAUUAACAUAUCAUUGGCUGCUAAUGACUGGCCAAAAUGAAGGCGGACAAAAGCCUGUAAUCCGGUAUGCGUGGGGAUACAAAAGUUUACGAUAUGAGUGGGCUACUGGUAUGAUCUUUAUACUGUGCUGCAGUUGUCAACAUUUGAGCAUUCUCAGCCAUGUAGUCGUGGCAAACGGUCGUGAAUUCGUAUCGACUGACAAUUAACCGAAAUCGUACCAUUGGUGCUGCGGCUGUCAUUGGCCUAAUGUCGUAGAGUGAUGAUAUUAGCAUCGACGUUAAAAGCCUAAUAAAAGGAAGAAAGCCACUAAGUUGGUUUCGUAGUGCUACGAUUGGCAUUGGCGUUCGGUACACUAAAAAGUUAAAGAUUAAAAGUUCAAUGAAAGGACGCAAGCUACUGAGUUCGGUGAGGCAGAUCGUGACGUAGAACAACAUGCUGCGAUAUUUGGGAUGAUAAAUCCAGCGUCAUGGUUAAGUAAUUUGUUUUUUAUUUCUUUUUUAAUUGUACCGCUUAAUUCACAGUAGCAUUCGGCGCAAAUAUCUAGUUAUAAAAUCGUUAAACCUUUGGCUUUGGGGGAAGUUGCAUAAAACGUUUAACUAUAUUUUGCGUAUAUAGUCAAAUCGGAGAUCUAUAAUUAACUCCAAAAUUUUCGAUUUUGGAUAAUCAAUUGCAUGACUGUGUAAAAAGUGUGUAUAGUUCUAGACGUUAACUACCUUCACAUGCAACUAGCUAUUGACUGUGUUAUGAUAGGCACUUGUCCAAAGUCAAGCCGAAUACGAUUUCAAAUAGUUAAAAACUGCAUACGAUAGACCUAGGGCAGCGCAAAGCUUUUGGUUUAAACUGAACCUAAAAGUAAUUGGUUUCUUAAACUGUUGUGUUGUGAAGCGAUAUGAUUGGAACCAUUGGUUCCAACCAUUCUCAAAUGAAUUUAUGUCCGUGUGGUAGCAACCACAAAAACCCCUUUUUUCGAGGGUACACUUUUACUAUUUUGAAUAUUACUUAUAUCUCUUGUCGAUAUGUAUUACUGCGAAAUAACGAUUAAUUAACCCAAAACAUAACGAUUGAUAUCCGGCAAAAUUCCUCACAUUAUAUGCAUAUACUAUUGGUAUUAAACUCAGACAUCAGGGUGAGCUCAGCAGAUCGCUUGUAUUCAGAAUUUCAUAUAUUUUUCUCUCAAAUGCAGCCUGCCUAAUCCUUUGGAGCAAAAACACUGCUUGGUAUUACUAGGAAUAUCGUACGUGCUGCAUGACGUGAUUAUGUGAUAACUUGUCUUAAAGCAUGAUUUUGAAUUGCGGAGAAAUUAAUGUUAACUAUGCAGGCUCCCAUUAUCAUGGGAUUAAGCCAUAUCCCCAUUGAUGACUUCAUUAUAUCACAAUAAAGGUAAAAAAGAUUAUCAAUUUCAGGUUUUAUGUAUAAAGUGUAAAUCUUUUUUAAAAAGGCGAAUUACUCCUAACUUCGAAGUAAUCUAAGAAAGAGCAUUUUAUUUUUUUUAAAGCAUAACUGACUUUUUAACGAAUGGUACCAUCAGAAAUGAGAGACUUGUCUUCAUCAGAUAUGCGAUAUUUGUUAAGCAGCAAAAUUGUGAUAUUACAACCACUAGUUUAUCUAUAGUGAAACCUGCCUUGUUUAUUAAUAUUAUUGUUAUUAUUAAGACAAUAUUUUUUCAGGGCGCCCGACUCACAAAGUGAUUUUCAGCGGGGUCCUGGAUUAAAAUAAAGUACAAACAUGUACAAAUAUAUAGUGAAAGUUAGAAUGUUAAACUACGUUUAAGGUAGAAAAUUAAAAAGACAUGCAAUAUAAGGAAAUCAGACAAACAAGAAUUUCUUAAGUCUCAAUUUGAAAAUCCUAAAGUCAUCUCGUGAGGGAGCGUAUUCCAGUCCGUAUCCUUCCAAAUAUAGGUGAAAGUAAGCUUGCCGUAAUUCUUGUUCGGUUUAGAAAGAAAUUAUGUGUAUUAUAUUUAUGCGCCUCAGAGGUAUUCUUAAAGUCAAAGUCAAAUUAAUAGAAAGCUAAAAUUAGCUAUAAACGAAUGAUUAUUAGAGACUUUGAUGACUUAGAUAUUCAUUUUCAUUUAGAUUAAUCCAUCAGAAAUAUUCAUCUCAAUGUAAACAAAGAUAUUUAUAACCUUUUUGGGAAAACAUAUCCGAUAACCAUGAAAUUAUGCAACCGAUAUUUUGCGUUACAAUUGUAGAUACUUUCGUGCAAGAUUCUUAACUUCAAAAUUGUGUUUUGAAAACAAAACAGUUUCAUGAAAAAAAAUAAAAAAUCUGAUUAGUUCCAGUUUCAUCUUUCCCUGAAUAUCUGUUAGGAAAUAAACCUUCCCGGAGCAUAACUUUCUUUUCCACUAUAUGUUGUGUGCGUUGCUUUCGUUAAGAUCAAAUAAUUGGCGUGUUUAUCUUUUAGUAACUAACGUUCGUAUUGUAUUGUUUGUCCAUCCUUUGGUACACGCCUAUAUUCAAUUUGUCAGGAUAUUUGUUUGUGUAUCAAUAUCUGAAACUUCUGCUUGACUCGGGUCCCUUCCUCUCUUGUCCUGUAACAAGUGUGUGUUUGACAAAGAACUGUGGUAGUAUCUGUCUUAAGAAGACAAAUGUUUGUAACCUAAAUUGUGUUGGAGGAAAUGCUCAAUACUUCGUGGCCUAUAAAACAUUCUUAUAAUAACGUUGAGAAUGAAAGAAACUAUUAUACAUCCUGUCGUAGAAAAAGGUUGGAGAAAUCGUAUCGCAUUAUUGCAGUUUCUGAUUACACUGUUAGUAAAUAAAGAAAAGGGAAUGAAUAUCCCUACAAACCAUCGGGAUUGCAAAGAAUUCAUAGUAAAGUGGAAAGAUUUUGCGACCAUCUUAAAAAACACUGAUUUAGAACGCUUGGUGUUUCUGAAACACUUAACAAAACGAAUUGGAAGCCAAUUAGAAGAAAACGUCAGUCAAAUUCUGUGAUAAACCAGUUUAUCUGUUUAUUAAACCUCAAAAAGAUUAUACCCAACUAAUAGACUGGCCCUGAGACACCACGUCGCGGAGAUAUGUUGAUGAAUCAAACAAUAUUAAAUAGUCAAGAAAUCUUAGAGUUCAAGUGACAUUCACUCUUAACAAGAGAAAUUUCUGAACUGAAAGAUAUAUUGUCACUCAAUGACACAACCCUCUGCUAAACCAACGGGUGAUCUAUCCUCCCUAGAAACUUCAUCGACCUAAAGUGCUUAUUCCGAUCAACAUGGACUUCCUCCCUUAAUGUUAAAAACACCAUCAACAGUUACCAGCUUUUCAGGUUAUCCAUCGCCGAUCGACAAUGUGUAUUCUUGUGUAUACGAACAUAUAUAAAGACAGAUUUUGGAGGUAAUUUGUGGUAAAGCUAAAAUAUGUUGGUAUAUUUUGAAAUUCGAAUGUGAUGAUAAUGAUGUACCCAAGAUGUCUGAAAUGAUAACGCAGUAAAAAGAUGUGUUCAGUUAAGUUCGUCCAAAACAGUAUUCAUCCUUACAGACACUGGUUAAUAUGUAAACAAUGAUGAUGAAGAUCCCAAUAAACGACGUCUUAUAGGGAAUGGCAAUUGAUAAUACGAAAAGAUAUUUGAGCAACUGAAUGUUGGAAUUGUCACAGCACACUCCUAACACACAUUGUUUAACUUGUAAUUCAGGCAAUCCCAGAAAGUGCUUCCUCUGUCUCUCGGCGUCUGGCCUCAAGUCACACUGUAGAACGUUCCCCUAUCUUAAUGCUAAAUUGGGAAGUUCUAGACCUCUAUUCCAAAACCUUGUGCUUAACUCUGAGCAAUUAUAAGGUUCGUGUGGCUUCUCCACAUUUAGUGGGUGGUUCAUUUCGAAUAUGAGGCUCCAGGUUUUUUUUUUCUUACCUUGCCCUUUUUUAUACAUCUAUUUUCCAGUUUACCUGCUUAUAAAUUUCUUCAGUUUUCUGCUAUUCUGCAUAUAUGCGAUUGAACGAAUGUUUGAAUAUGAGUCUGAAUUUAAUCUCUAGAGAACAGUUAGCUUAAUUAGGAGCGAAAGAAUCUACACUUGUAAAGCAUAAUGGUAUAUAAGCGUGCGCAUUUUGUUUGCCUCCAAAAUUGGGAUUUUUAAAAAUUCUUGGAUUUUGCACUCACAUUUCAAUUUCACCAAGAAAGUUUCGCACUGGUCACAUGCACGUAUCUGCAAAAAAAGAACGGUAAUACUAAUUUCUAAGGAUGUAGAAUUAUAUGAAAAGGUUACGAACGAGAGUGAUAAUUUUUGAAAAAUUAACAACCACAUAGCAAACAUUAGUUCCAUAUUAAGUUUGUUUGUAUUUCUAUUUGAAUUUUUAUUAGGUUUGUUUGUAUUUCUUCCCACUUACUCUAUAAUGGCGAGCAAAAAUUGGGCGUCAUUAGCACACAUUAAUGUUUCAUAAUCAACGUGUUUUCUGCAGAUAUAAGAGUAAUACUAAGUUUAUCUUACAUGAAGAAUCAUCGAAAUAUAUAAUAUAACGAUUAUAAACAUCAAUUUAAACUAUACACCAAACAAAAAUGAGGUAAAGAAAGUUGAUUCCCACUAAAAUUGGCAAAUCUGAAAUGCCGGCUUCGCACCAACAUUUUAAUGUAACGGAGAACAUUUGUCACUGAUCACACGUUUGUGCAAAAAAUCCCCAUAGGGAUUUAAAGUUAUGAACGAUGGUAAUAAGACUAGAUUGUUUUGUUUUCUUUUAUUUGAGUUAAAUGUUAUAUUGUUUUAAAAAAAGUGCUUCUGACAUUCAUACUUGAUUUGUACAUUGGUUUACACGAGUUAGUGGUAAUAUCAUGGGCUUAAUACAUCCCUUUUAUGCGCAUAAUAAUGAGACAUAAUUUUUUAAUGAGGCAAAUUAUUUAAAAAUGAUCAUGCUAAUUAUUCAUAGGUGAUCAUCUUAAUAUUUGUCCAAAAGUGCUCCAGAUCUUCAUUCAUUUCAGGUAGAUGCUGAUUGUUGAAUUCUACCAGUAUUUCAGCAUGUCUCUCAAAGACAUACUGGUAGAACUCGCGGAGCCUCUCCAGCUCCGCGUUUCUCUCUUCUUCCUUCUCUCUUUUUCUCAUCCGGUAGCGCUUGAAUCUGUUCAUCUCGGGCAUGUAGCGGUUAGUAGUUAACCUGUGGGUAUGUUCCCGGAAGUAGCGGAAGCUCUGAACCAUGUCAAUUAGUUUCCAGUCCGGUCGUGUGAGGGAUAUGCGUGUGCAUGUUAAUUGAAAUACGUCACUAAUAGGAAAUGACGGGUUGAGAAAGUAUGAAUAUUAAUUGAAUACGUCGCAAAUCGAAAUAUCUGGUUGAGAACGGGUUUAUGUUAUCAUGGUAGAAAUAUUUUACCUUUGAUAACAAUUCGAAGUCAAAAUCCGUGCAAUUUUAGCUGGAUUGUACCUUUCGGUUUAGGUGAAGUUAUAUUUUUGAAGAAUAUAUUUAGAGACGGCCACAUUUAUUCAGUUUAAUUUUUCUCCACCAAGAGUGCCGAAGCACUGAUCACACUACAGGGGAGAAAAGAGAAAGGUAUUAUAAGUAUAAAGGGGAAACGAGAAGGAAAAGAAUAUUGAGCGUAUGAUUAAUAAACAAAUAAAAGGUGGUUUAAUUUUUUCUACUUACUCCAACACCCCCAUCCAAAAUUGUGCAUCGUUGCACCAUUUUAUGAAUUCAUCAUCUGCAGGCGUUCUGCAGAGAUAGUAAUUGUGAGAUCAUGAAGAAUCAUUGAUGUGAAUAACAAUAAUGAUAAGAUUUAUACAGAUAUAGACAUAGAUUUUAAAUACCCACAGUGUGGACAUCAUCCGCGUGCCCAGUAAAAUAGGCAAAUCUGAAAUGUGGGCUUUGCACCCACAUUUCAUUUUUACUGUGAACGUUUUACAGUCGUUGCAUGUUUCUGCAAAGAAAAAACAAACAAGAAACGUUCAUUCAUAGGGACUUUGGUUAACAAACAUAGAAAUAAGACUGGGUUAAUUUUUAGAAAAAAGAAGAAAAAAAUAUGAGCACAUACCAAACUUUGAUUCCAUGUUUGUUCGAUCUGUUCAACAACAUCUAUACUUUUGACUUUAGAGUUUGAUUUGAGUUAAUUGUUAUAUUGUUUUGAAAAAGUGCUUCUGUCAUUCAUACUUGAUUUGUACAUUGGUUUACACGAGUUAGUGGUAAUAUCAUGCGCUUAAUACAUCCCUUUUAUGCGCAUAAUAAUGAGACAUAUCAUUUUUUAAUGAGGCAAAAUUAUUUAAAAAUGAUCAUGCCAAUUAUUCAUAGGUGAUCAUCUUAAUAUUUGCCCAAAAGCGUUCCAGAUCUUCAUCCAUUUCAGGUAGAUGCUGAUUGUUGAAUUCUACCGGUAUUUCAGCAUGUCUCUCAAAUACAUACUGGUAGAACUCGCGAAGCCUCUCCAGCUCCGCGUUUCUCUCUUCUUCCUUCUCUCUUUUUCUCAUCCGGUAGCGCUUGAAUCUGUUCAUCUCGGGCAUGUAGCGGUUAGUAGUUAACCUGUGGGUAUGUUCCUGGAAGUAGCGGGAGCUCUGAACUGUGUCAAUUAGUUUCCAGUCCGGUCGUGUGAGGGAUAUGCGUGCGCAUGUUAAUUGAAAUAGGUCACUAAUGGGAAAUGACGGGUUGAGAAUGUAUGAAUAUUAAUUGAAUACGUCGCAAAUCGAAAUAUCUGGUUGAGAACGGGUUUAUGUUAUCAUGGUAGAAAUAUUUUACCUUUGAUAACAACUCGAAGUCAAAAUCCGUGCAAUUUUACCUGGAUUGUACCUUUCGGUUUAGGUGAAGUUAUAUUUUUGAAGAAUAUAUUUAGAGACGGCCAUGUUUUAACAAUUUUGAGAAGCUUGUUUUAACGCUGUGGAC